rnacentral:misc_RNA from 1 species
AUUUUGUAACCUGUUUAUUUUCGCCGGCAACAGACAUGGCAAAACCGCCAUUUUCUAAAGGCCGGAAGUGUUCCAGAUGCCCAGUGUAUUCAGGAUGUCGGCGAGGUUUAUGUUCUUCCCUUGGUAAGCGUUUCUCGAAUAAAAAGAAAUACCCAUCACCAGACAAAAACAGAGUCGUGUCAUUACCCGGGGCAAAGGAUGUCACGCCCAUCAAAGGUAGUCUGAUCCAAGGGCACCGUUAUCUAGACGCCGAGGGCAACAUCCGUAUCAGGACGAUCCCCAAAUACCUGGCCCAGACCGGUCGGGGACCAAGUUUCAUCUACAGACCCCCAAGAACAAGGCUCCACAGUCAGCGACCGACGCGCCUCAAUGACCGGGAAUCCCAGGGGAGAGGGGCCGUCCGGGGAGUCCCCGCCCAAGGGGCUAGAGGUAAUGUGGUGUGUCAUGUAGUUGUCUCAUACAAGCUUUAUGCCUCUAACGUCUAAAUAUGGCGUCGAUGGACCAGACUCUCAAAGCAAGACACAUUGUCCUAACACACGGGGUGUAGCUGUGGAGAGAGUGAGGUUCGUCGAUAAUUUACUUAAUAUGUUUCUCUAAACGAAGUGGUCGGUGUGAAAACUAAGUCAAUUAACAAAUAUAGAAUAAAUAUAGACGAACGAUAACCAACCAUGCAUUACUCUAAUCAACCUUUUAACAUAUAAGUCUAAUUUUAAGCUGUAAAACAAAGUAACUCAUUAUUCCAUCUCUGUCCUUAUUUUGUUAUUGAUUCAUUAUUUGGAUGACCGUUACAUAACUUAUUUCAAAAUAUAUUUCUGCAAUUUGAAAAGAAAAUUAAGAGAGCAAUGAUAAUAGAGAUGGUAUACUCUAAGGUAUGUUGAGUUAAAGCGAUAUAAGUGUAAGGAAUUUUGUUAAGUGCCCCUCAUGUAACAUAUCAAACAGUCAAACGGCAGUCGGACAGGGAUAGCCGCUAUCAUCGGCUUCAGAAGCAGCGAGAGGAACAGCGCAGGCGCGAGGAGCAAGAAAGACUUCGGCGGGAAAGACAGAGGCGUCAGUGGGAGGCCCAACAACUGCGUCAGCGGGCGGGAGAGACGCGUAGUGAGGCUGAGUACCAGCGACGCAUUCUGGAGGAGCAGCGACGGAGGAAUGAGGAGCUACGUCAGAGAGAGGAGCAGCGACGUCAGAGAGAGGAGGAGAUCAGACGAAGGGAAGAGGAGCGACGGCGGCGGGAAAGACAGCGUGAACGUUCCCAACAACAGGGUCCACAGAGACUAGAAAGUCCUAUGGGCUCCACGGACAAGUUUCAACUGACUCAGGUACACAACACUCUACGGGGGACACAGUUGGCAGAGCUGAGCUGGAGCAAUCACCUGGAGCGCUGGGCCCGCUAUGUUAUCCGCUGUGAGAUCGAGUACCCCGGUCCAAUCGACACUUUCACCAAUUUCGGCAAAGUAGACAGGACUAGCCGGGUGUACAAUAUCAUUUACGACUGGGGAGCGGAAGGAAGUGACGUAAAUCAGAGACAAAAUGUCGGUUGUCGUACUCCUGACGACCGAGAAAAAUGUAACCAUAACAGCAUUAUCCGAAAUCCUUUUAUCCGUAAUUUUGCUUGUGCAUCUCUGGACUGUGGUAGUAAAACGCAGCUGACGUGUAUAUACAAAUAAUGAAUGCUCCCCGGGGAGACUUCAGUGAAGAGAAAUAAUCCUAAAGAGGAGAUCCCGUGUGUGGCCAGAGCUAUGUAUGAAGCAGUGAUGAAAUGUAACAUUUACUUGAUAUUAUUCCCAAAAUGUUGUGAUAUUAGACUGUAGACAUUCUUACCAGCUUGCACGUGUGUUUGUAUAACUCAAGCUUAUGUAGGCUCCGACUGGUACACGUGUUUUUGACUUUGUAGGAUCAGGAUACUGGUAGUAGAUCUAAACUCAAAUACUAGUAAAGAUUCAACCAAUACCUAAAAUAACUGAUAAUAAUUGACAAACUAACUAUUAUGCUAUGUUUCUCUAGAAAAGGGUAAACAAUCAUGUUCACGUACAAUUAGAAAUAUUUUCAUGCGCGGAUGCAGAAAAUUUUUCCACGGGGGUCCGAAGGAUAAGGCGUAUUUGCGAUAAUUUUACUACAUAAAUUAAUUACUAUUUUCCAGGCCCCCCGACCCCCCCCCCCCAAAGAUCCGCGCAUGACUUUACAGGCCUGUUAUUAAUUUUCGACAACUUUCGGGAACUGUUAAUUUACGCCAAAACACUUUAAUACGAGUAGGUAUAGAGGCAUUGCACUCCAAAAUUGCAACACCUAUAACGUCCACUAGAAUUUGGUUUUCAGCAUCAACAGUUUCCUGUCCUUCGUUGAUGGGACAGCUGAAGUGGGCGAUUGUAGCCAGGCCCACAAAGAUGAAUUAACUUUUUCCCUGCACCAUUACCCUCAGUCUGAAGUCGAAAGGACGACCUUAUAUUUUCUCUUUAUUUUAAGCUUUGUAUGCUACCAUUUCCUCUAAAGCUCUGACCAUAUGUCAUGCAUAAACAAGCUCGCUUAUUUCCUAGCACAAUAAUGAUAUAUAUGUAAGAGAUAUGGCGAGAUAGCUGACAACUAUAAUCAAAACUAUAUUUGUAGGUCAUUGAGAAUAGUUUUAUGCAAAACUGUUAUAUUUUUAGCAAAACCUGACGGGGCACUGAAUACAGAGUCCUUUCCAGAUCCACUUUCAUCAUUAGAUUAGCUUGGAUAAAUUAUAUAUUGUGUACAAUUUAUUGUAUUAAAGAAGUGACUUAU